rnacentral:lncRNA from 1 species
GAAGAUGGUGAGAUUCUUAUUUUUUUCAUAGCCUCUAGAAUGAUUCAUACACAUUCGAGAUCCUUAUUAAUACAGAAUCUUCUAAUGAUGAUGGAAAAGAUACAAUCGAAGACGACAUGUUGUCUUACCACCAAGGAUUGGUUCUUGUUCCUGGGGGAAGUGACAAUAUUGUAACUGGCCCUCACAUCAGAGGCAGCAGAUUACGAGCAUCAGCUGCUGGCGAUGAAGAAGUCGAUCUCCUUCUUCCUGGAACAGCCAGGUAAACUAACUCAACUCAUUGGCAAAUGAGAAACUAAGCGUUAUCUUAACAUAAUGUUGCUCAAUGUCAUAUAGAAACUAGCGCCAAAACACUCAAGUUGUGUUGAAAAUACAACAAAUUAAAAGCAUUUCUAAGCUCAUGCACUUGUAGCAAUAAUGCAGUCACACUUCUAGCUUACUAGUGUCUAGUAUUCAUCAAUUUCAGAAGAUCUCCGGGGUAAAAUUAGGAUUCAGUUUUGGAUUUUUUUUUGACUUUCCUAUGAUUAGAACACCAAAGUCUCAGAAACAAAUGAUGAUGACAAAGAAAUGGAAUACAUGUGAUCCAGACGACAUGCAACUGAUGUAUGCUGUUUUUUUUCACUCCCCGUCCCGGGUUUCGGCUACAAACUUGGUCCGGUUCUUGAACCGGUUUCUGAGAAAUAUCUCCAUAAUUGCAGGUUGCAGAUACAGCAAGGAGUGAACAUGCCGGCAAGAGCAGAGCUGAUACCGGGAAGAGAAGAGAAAGAUAAGCAGAUUUUACACGAAUGCUGCGACGUUGUGCUCUAUCUUGGCAUUAUAGACAUCUUACAAGAGUACAACAUGACCAAGAAGAUCGAGCACGCUUACAAAUCUCUUCAUUUUGAUUCUCUUUCGAUCUCAGCCGUUGAUCCUACUUUCUACUCCCAACGUUUUCUUGAGUUCAUCAAGAAGGUGUUUCCCCAGAACAGCUCAUAGAGAAAGGGACAGAGAAAAGAGUACAGUUAUGUUUUGUUUUUGUAGAGGAAAAUGCAAAAAAAUGUUGUAAGUAUCUAUCUAUAAACAGACCUUGAGAUCUUCAGUAAGGAAACAAUUUUUCUUUUUCUCAAUCGCUGCAACCGCAAAACUUAAUUGCAACCGUAACCGCACUUCUUGAUUGCAUGAGAUAUUUGGCUUCAUUAUCAAACUCAAGAAACCGGAAUCUAGGCAGAAAUAGACACGUGGACACAUGACGGACUUCGGAAGAAAGUUGAAAUAGAGAACAGAGAUACGUGUCGUGAAGCAAAAUGUCAGAGAAAGAAAGAGAAGCAAUGAAAUUGACGUUUUAAGUGUAAAUUGUUCAAUCUCUCAUAGACGUUUUGCAUUUUUUUUUUUUUGGCUCUGUAAAGAACAAAGUUUCUUCAUGUCUAUUAAUGUAUGAAUCAUAGAUUCAUCUGCACAGGAAAAGCUUUCACCUUUUUUGAUUCAUUCAUAAGAAAAGUGGAGAGACAGAGAGAUUUUGAUAAAAACAAGAAGCAUCUCCAUUACUAUACAUUGAAAGAAGUCAAAAUUAAGUUUUUUUUCUUUGUUUGUUAAAGUAGGUUUAUCUCGUUUGGGAUCUUUUGCUAUUUUUCUACAGUAUUGAAUCGACAAAAGAUAAAAGAAAAAGAAAUCGAGAGAUUUACAGUGAGAUUGUAGAGAAUGGGAUCUUCUUCUGGGCAAAGUGGGUUCGAUCUUUCUUUCAAGAUCUUAUUGAUUGGAGAUUCUGGUGUUGGUAAAAGUAGCUUGCUUCUCAGCUUCAUUUCCAGCUCUGUCGAAGAUCUUGCUCCUACCAUCGGUAUUUUCUUCAUUUUCUGUUUGAUUCCUAGGAAAAUGAGCUGAUAAAAUUCGUUUUUCUUGUUGAGAUAUUUUUUUAUUUGUUUUGAGAAUGGUACUUAGCUAAAUCAGUCUCAGGGCUAC